AGUAGUUUUUUUUUUAAUGUGACGACUGCAGUAAGAUAAGACCAUAUUGCAUUUUUUAUUUGGAUAAAUACAUUUAGUUUAAAGAGAUUUCAUCAUCAAUACAUCAUUAAUAGUUUAUAAAAAUAUAUAUACGAUUUGUAUCAGCUGCAGAUGACACAAUGGACAAGCAGUACUCGGUUAAGUUCUUCACAUCUCUUGUGGAAUGCAUGCAAAAAGUGUGCCGAGACUUCCUCGACUUCGAACAGGCCGUGGAUCUCAGUGGCUACCUCUGUGUGGAGAUCGACAACUUCAAGAAGGAGAGAUAUGUUAUCAGCGAACUCAUUCAGAACACUGGAGACGUGAUCAGUGAGAGUUACUGCACAAAGGCCUUCAAGACACUGAGGAAAUUACCAAGGGAAACCACGUGUAGUAGUGGAAUUGAAAACAGUGAUCCCAGACAGUCUUCAGUUAUGAGCAUUGGAAGUACUGCAGGAUCAACAGGACUGGGUAGAAUAUCCGCACGUAGGUCACAAUGUUCCAGUGGUAGAACGAGUCAGAGUACAAGUCAGACAGAUUCCAGUUGGAACAGCAAUCCAGCUGACAGUCGGUAUCAGCUGUCUUCUGUUCAUGUAGCAGGUCUAAAGAGAACCAUUCCUCAAUCAAGUCUGCUGCCGUCGGUGAAACGAGACAGGAGUGAGUCUUACAGUAGUGGUCUAGAGAGUGAAGAAUACAGCACUGUUGAUGCACAACAUGCUUCUACCAACACAUAUUUGACUGAACAAGUGUCUGGAAGUGCUACCUGUACAUCAAGUGCUCCUAAUAGUAAUAGCAAUGCAUGUAUCUCUGGUUCGAGUAUGACACUGCCAUCAUGUUCCAUAUCUAACAGUAGUACUGCACAAACCUUGUCUAGUGUGGGUGAAAGCAUUCGAUUACCAUUAAAUGUGACUGUCAAAGAAGAAGAUGAUAUAGCUUUUAUGGUGCUUGAUGAUAGUCAGGAUUUCGAUAGCUCUGCCACAUAUGGUGAUAAUGACUCUUCGAAUACAUUCGCACAUGCACAGUCAGUUAAUAAUGAAACAUUGCCAUUGUCAUCACCAAACUUUGGGGACCAAGAAAAUGCUCAUACUGCCAGAAAGAUGAAAGGUCAUGUGAAACUAUUUCAGGACUUCUCGUCAGAAGAUGAGUCUUUAGAAAACAAUUCAAGCACAAACACUGUGAAUAAGACCAGAUCAGAUCUGAGAGUGUUCACCGACUGGUUGAAAAGCAACAAAGAAUUCAGGAACCUAGAGGACAUUCCACCAGCCGAGUUUGAUGGUCUCUUGGCUCAGUUUUACAUGGAUGUCCGUGCAAAGGAUGGUUCAGAAUAUGAAGCAAACACAAUCAUUGGUAUUCGAAACAGCAUCCACAGACAUUUGAGAAAUUUGAAAGUCAACAUGUAUAUAAAAAAAGAUCCUGAGUUUAGCCAUUCAAGAAAUGUUCUAGAACUGAAAAAAACCCAGUUAAAAAACGAACCAAGACAGAAAAAGCAACACAGGCGCAAGGUAGAUGGUCUUUGUGAGGAUGACAUCAGCAUCUUGUAUGACAAGCAAGUUCUUGGUGCAGCCAAUCCAGCGUCCUUGCUACAUGCAGUUUGGAUGAACAAUGCAUUUUAUUUUGGAUUCCGGGGACGUAAGGACCAUGUCAACCUGCUUUGGGGAGACAUAGAACUUAAGACGGACCCACUUGGGAAGGAAUUCCUCGAGUAUACAGAAAGAAAUUCUAAGGCACGGAGUGGCUGCAAGCAAGAAAAUAAUAGAAAGUGUAUAAGAAGUAGAAAUAUGAUAACAAGGAUACAUUCAAAGCCAGACAGCCCUCACUGUCCUAUUAAAAUGUAUAAACAAUACCGACUGCAUCGUCCCUCUCGAAUGCGUGACCCAAACACAAGGUUUUAUUUACAUCCACUUGAAAACCCACCUUCUCAGAUGUGGUAUACUCAUCACGUUUUAGGGAAAAACAAACUCGGUGAAAUGAUGAAGAAUAUAAUUGAGCAAGGAAAUACGGUGAAAACAGAAAAGGAAUGAAGUGUCAAAACUUGACGAAUGUUGCACAGCUGUUAAAAAAAACCCACCCUAACUUCUGAGAGCAAUGGACAGCACAUUCCACAGCAUUUACAUGGAAUGUAACAGUAAUGGAGGUCUUGAUUGUUGUUUCUUUGUGAAGAAAAAUUAAUUUUAAACCUUUUACUCGAUUUCAGUAUAUGUGGAUAAACCCCACUCUACUGAAGUACUGGCAACUCAGUUUUAAGAAUUGGACAAUUUUAUACAAUUAUUGAAUUAACAUUACUGCCAUUAUAGCAGCAGGUAAAAAUUGUGCAACCAGUUAUUUGAGGUACGUUCUCAUAGACAGAACACACACAAGUGAAGAAAGACAUGUCUUUGGUCAGAAUAAUGCAUGAGAUGAGAACAAUAUUCACAAGCCUAAAACAUUUGGGUGGGGAACAGAGGAAGAAAAAUGACCAUUUAAGCCAGAUUCAUACUUCAUUGCCGACUCUUGUUGGCAAGUAGUUGACUCGCCCAGUCUGCUUCUCUUCAAACCUAAUCCUCAGUUUUCAGUCAAUUCGGUAUCAUCGGAACCCCAGACUCUGUCCAUCCCAGAUAUAUUACCUGAGGACACCCUGAUAGCCCAGUCUUUGAUGUUAUCCGGGGAGGAUCAGACAAUAGCAGAUAAAAUCCAUCAUUUUGAAUGCAAGAAAUGUCGC
rnacentral:misc_RNA from 1 species